rnacentral:lncRNA from 1 species
AUAUGCAAAGUGCUAUAUACUUCAGCUGUUAACCAAUGUUAAAUGCAACUUAACAGACUAAAUGAAUGCAGCAUGUAAAAUUUAUAUACGUCCUUGCAGUUCUUUAAGAAUAUGCUAUACAUUAUUUAAAGAAUAGUAACGGUAGACCUUUGGUAGCCAUGCAUAAUGAGGGAUUAAUUAUCUGGGACUAGAAAAUAGCUGAAUAUGCCAACACAGCUUUCUUACCCUUUUUGAGCAGUAAUUUAAGAAGUUUUCUACAUCAUGUUUGAAACCUUUUUUUACAAGUAGUCAGCACUCCCUUAGAAAUCCAGAAAAGAAAAAGCUCUAGAGAAUAAAUGGAUUAAGACCAAAAAAAAAAAAAGUUUUAUUUCUCUACCUUAUCCCCCUUUCUAUUUUAUAAAUGAUCAGUUCCAAAUAUAAGAAAUAGAUUUCUUUGUUAAAGCAGAAUGAAAUAAAUACUUGAGAUUUUUCCCUUGUUUGUAUGCAGUUUGCAGGUAAAAUAGAAGAUACAGAAGCUCUGUACAUCACAGUAAGCUGCUGGUGACUACUUCAUCAAAUACUCAAUAGAGCCAUCUUUAUAGAAGAUGUUGAAAAGGACUCUGCUCAAAAUCACUUGUAAUGCCAUGGUUGGGAUAUUCCCUUUUAGUAUUGGACCCAUUGGUUCAAAUCUCUGCUCCUGACCAGAUCAACUUAACUCAUUUUACAAAUAUACAUACUCAGGGCCUAGAGUCCUGCUGGGUGCUUUCUGAAAACAUGAAUAAAUAAUACAGUAGACUCUGUGAUCUGAAUUCAACUAUCAGUUUUGAUGUGUGAGUCAAUCUACAAACUAAAUCAGUCUUCUGAAAUCAGAUAUUUCAGUGUUUGAAGGAUGACUGGCUAACAAGGAUGAAUUAAUCCAACAGUAUCCAGAACACCUAGAAAAACAGCACGAAGACAUUAUUGAAUGAACUAAUCAAAUACGGUUCAGAAUCAGAGAAUUACUUUGGAUGUAUAAACUUUUAGGGGU